rnacentral:lncRNA from 1 species
AUGGGGGGCACCUGGAGCAUCUCAGCUGGGGUCCUCAGCCCUCCUCUCCCUGGCACCCCCAACUUAGCAAGACCCCCGCACACGCUGUAUUCCCCACAGGCACCCGGACUGUUAUUUAUUUGUACAGAGAAAGGUUUAUUUUUCAAUAAAGAAGGGCUCUAUUUUCCAGUAGAUUUUUUUUUUACCCUCCCCAUCACCUCACACCCCCAAGCAAUGCCCCCCUCUUCAGGCCCUGCCUCCCAUUACCAGGGGGAGGACCCCAGCAAGGUCAGGAACCCCUGCCCACCUCAGCACCCUUUUCCCCAGAGCGCAGCACCGGUGCCCACCCCAGCUGCCACCCCACACGAAAACCCCCCUCCCAGGGGACAUGCCCCCGGUGGGUGCCAACACCUCCAGCUUGUGGGGCAACAUGCGUGCUGCCCUCAAGCAGCAUCCCUGGGGCCGCCAAGCCGUGGGGAAGGGACUGCUCCUCCCAGCGCCGGGGUGACGAGGUGGCACCGUGGGGUGGCGAGGCCAGCUGUGCCUGCCCGUCUCCCUUCUCCGAGCACGGGGGUGCCGGAAACAAGGGGGCCGCGGCGGGUAUCCGGUGCCGGCAGCCUUCCCCCUCGGCACCUGGCACCGUCCAUCCCGGUGGCCGGACAUCCGCCGGGCCGGGCCAGGCGGGGAGGUGGCGAGGAGCUGGCACGGCGCGAAAGCACCGCGGGCACCGCAUGGGGGACCUGCCGCUGUGGCUGGCCCUGCUUGGGGCGCUGGUGGUGUCGGGUGAGCGGGGCCGUGGGUCUGGGGGAUUGGGGUGCAGGGGGUUCCUGGGCCCCCACGAUGGGGUUGGGGCUGGGGGGUGAUGGUGGCAGGGUCCAAGCUGGGUAUGUGUGUCCCCACGGCUGCGUUUUGGGCACCACCGGCAGGGACCUGUCACUGAGCAUCCCCUGUGCCUCCCUACCCGGAGCUGUGUCCUCACCGUGUGUGUGUCCAUCUGUCUGUGUGCACUGUGUCACUGUAUCUGUGUCCCUGCAUGUGUGCAGGUGUCUGUGGGUGUGUGUGCACGCUGCUGCUGCCUCCGUGCACGUGUCUGUGUGCCCCUGUGUGUGCCUGUCUGUGUGCACAGCAGCUCUGCAUCCCUGA